rnacentral:lncRNA from 1 species
AUUCAGGCUGUAACACAACAAAAUGUGGAAUAAGUGAAGGGACAUUUCAGAAUUGCUGGGAGAAGUCAUCAAAAUGUCGACAUUGACUAGCAGUUGACAACUGAAUACUUCUGGAGACGAGAAUCUAAAGACUAAGCAGAGGCGAGGAAAGGGAACAGCGUGGUUCCGCCCCCAUCAGGAAAUGACGACACGACAGUCAACACGCGGAAGUUCCGUGUUUAGUUGAUUAGUGACGUUGUGCCUGAGACAAAUGUGCCUUGCUUCAGCUAAACGGGAUGAAUGAACUAGUUGUGCUACCCGAAGAGAUUCAUUGAAACAGCAGCAAACAAG